rnacentral:rRNA from 1 species
AUUGAACGCUGGCGGCAGGCCUAACACAUGCAAGUCGAACGGCAGCACAGAAGAGCUUGCUCUUUGGGUGGCGAGUGGCGGACGGGUGAGUAAUGUCUGGGAAACUGCCCGAUGGAGGGGGAUAACUACUGGAAACGGUAGCUAAUACCGCAUAACGUCGCGAGACCAAAGUGGGGACCUUCGGGCCUCACACCAUCGGAUGUGCCCAGAUGGGAUUAGCUAGUAGGUGGGGUAAUGGCUCACCUAGGCGACGAUCCCUAGCUGGUCUGAGAGGAUGACCAGCCACACUGGAACUGAGACACGGUCCAGACUCCUACGGGAGGCAGCAGUGGGGAAUAUUGCACAAUGGGCGCAAGCCUGAUGCAGCCAUGCCGCGUGUAUGAAGAAGGCCUUCGGGUUGUAAAGUACUUUCAGCGGGGAGGAAGGCGGUGAGGUUAAUAACCUUGCCGAUUGACGUUACCCGCAGAAGAAGCACCGGCUAACUCCGUGACAGCAGCCGCAGUAA